rnacentral:rRNA from 1 species
AAAACGACUCUCGGCAACGGAUAUCUCGGCUCUCGCAUCGAUGAAGAACGUAGCGAAAUGCGAUACUUGGUGUGAAUUGCAGAAUCCCGUGAACCAUCGAGUCUUUGAACGCAAGUUGCGCCCCAAGCCAAUAGGCCGAGGGCACGUCUGCCUGGGUGUCACGC